rnacentral:lncRNA from 1 species
CGGUGGGAACCCAACCUUGAAAGGUUCAAUGGGUAGAAACAAACCGAAGUGUGACUAAGAGGAGCACUAUUUCAUGUUUUCCUCAUCCCUAUGGCGCUAGUGCUCAUAAAAGCAAGCGGUAGGAUGAGUUCGUUUGUAUCUUAAUGAGUCCGAGACCCAAGAGGCAGGAGCUUCCUUGCUAGCUUCCUUAUUAGGACUCACCUAUAUAUGCAGUCGUGAGGCCGCGAUUAUG